GUUUGUUUCAGACUAUUUUAAAUGCUCUUCUGCUCUUUCUUUCUAGGUCAAACCAAAACAGCCUUUUACAGCAAUCUCCACACGUGCUGUGGAUGUUUCUGGGGGCUUUAAGUGCUCUUUUGUUCAAAAAAAGUCCAUUGAAUCUGGGCUGCCCAAGGAACAGAACCCUAAGAAAAUACAUCAAGAUUGAAGAUUUAGCUACACUGAAGCUGUCUUUGAAAACAGAACGCCAGAUGAGCCACCCAGGCCAACAGUAUAUGAAUGAGAGAGCACCAUGUAGAAGAUAAAGGCCACCAAAUAAUCCAGAUUUUUCACUUGACAUCCCCCUGAACAUUCUGAUGAAUCAAAUUAGUUCUAGAAAUCUGAUGUAUUCAUUCAAAUAAUUUUAGUUUGUAUGAAUUUUGAUUAAAGUAAAAAAAAACUUGAGAUAAAAUACAGGUCUACAUCACAUAUCACUCACAUUUGUAUUACUUGGUCAUAAAGUGAGCAAAGUAAUCAUUCGAGUUCCUAAUAUCUACUGCUCUGAUGUCAUCUCAUUACUUAAAACACUUAAAGCAAUUGCA
ensembl:lncRNA